rnacentral:rRNA from 1 species
GAUGAACGCUGGCGGCGUGCCUAAUACAUGCAAGUCGAGCGAACGGACGAGAAGCUUGCUUCUCUGAUGUUAGCGGCGGACGGGUGAGUAACACGUGGAUAACCUACCUAUAAGACUGGGAUAACUUCGGGAAACCGGAGCUAAUACCGGAUAAUAUUUUGAACCGCAUGGUUCAAAAGUGAAAGACGGUCUUGCUGUCACUUAUAGAUGGAUCCGCGAUGCAUUAGCUAGUUGGUAAGGUAACGGCUUACCAAGGCAACGAUGCAUAGCCGACCUGAGAGGGUGAUCGGCCACACUGGAACUGAGACACGGUCCAGACUCCUACGGGAGGCAGCAGUAGGGAAUCUUCCGCAAUGGGCGAAAGCCUGACGGAGCAACGCCGCGUGAGUGAUGAAGGUCUUCGGAUCGUAAAACUCUGUUAUUAGGGAAGAACAUAUGUGUAAGUAACUGUGCACAUCUUGACGGUACCUAAUCAGAAAGCCACGGCUAACUACGU